UACAGAGGGUGCGAGCGUUAAUCGGAAUUACUGGGCGUAAAGCGUGUGUAGGCGGAUCGUUAAGUGUCUUGUGAAAUCCCACGGCUCACCCGUGGAACGGCUGGGCAUACUGGCGAUCUUGGGCCAACUAGGGGCAACUGGAACAAGCGGUGGAGCGGUGAAAUGCGUAGAUAUCGCUUGGAACGCCAAAGGUGAAAACAGGUUGCUGGGGUUGUGCCGACGCUGAGACACGAAAGCCAGGGGAGCAAACGGG
rnacentral:rRNA from 1 species